rnacentral:tRNA from 1 species
ACCUGGGUGGCUCAGUCGGUUGAGCGUCCGACUUCAGCUCGGGUCAUGAUCGACGGUUUGUGGGUUCGAGCCCCGUGUCGGGCU